GUGUGUGUCAUUUCAAACUGUGAUUGUGCGUUUCCAGGUUUCCCUCUGAAUGAACAGCUCUUUAAGUUGAUUGUACGUCGCUAUAGCGAUGAGCAUGGCAGCAUGGACUUUGACAAUUUCAUUGGCUGCCUGGUACGGCUGGACGCCAUGUGCAGAGCCUUUAAGACUCUGGAUAAGGACAACAGUGGCUGCAUCGACCUGGAUAUUAAGGAGUGGCUUCAGCUGACCAUGUACUCUUAAGGCGACGGAGAGAAGCUGCUCCACAAAACAUUACUUUAUCUCAUCCCGACCCCCUCCCAAUCCUCUCACUACACGUGUGUGUGUGUGUGUGUGUGUGUGUGUGUGUGUGUGUGUGUGUGUGUGUGUGUGUGUGUGUGUGUGUGUGUGUGUGUGUGUGUGUGUGUGUCUGUGUGUGCGCGCUUGCUUGUGCAAUAGUACCCCGCUGUUUCCAUGGGACCAAAGUGUCAGCAUAGAGCUCAAGUCAAGAAAAAAACCAAAGUGGGACCAAAGUGGAGCUGAGGCUGACUGUCGCAACGUCCUCCUGCUAGCCUCCCAUCGUUACAGUUUUCUAUGUUUUGUGUUUUACGGCCAAUUAUAGACGAUUAUUGUUUAACAGAAACUCAAUAAAGUGAAAUAACUGACAUUCAA